AACGAACGCUGGCGGCAUGCCUAACACAUGCAAGUCGAACGAUGCCUUCGGGCAUAGUGGCGCACGGGUGCGUAACGCGUGGGAAUCUGCCCUUGGGUUCGGAAUAACUCAGAGAAAUUUGAGCUAAUACCGGAUGAUGACGUAAGUCCAAAGAUUUAUCGCCCAAGGAUGAGCCCGCGUAAGAUUAGCUAGUUGGUGGGGUAAAGGCCUACCAAGGCGACGAUCUUUAGCUGGUCUGAGAGGAUGAUCAGCCACACUGGGACUGAGACACGGCCCAGACUCCUACGGGAGGCAGCAGUGGGGAAUAUUGGACAAUGGGCGAAAGCCUGAUCCAGCAAUGCCGCGUGAGUGAUGAAGGCCUUAGGGUUGUAAAGCUCUUUUACCAGGGAUGAUAAUGACAGUACCUGGAGAAUAAGACUCCGGCUAACUCCGUGCCAGCAGCCGCGGUAAU
rnacentral:rRNA from 1 species